AUGAAACACUCCUACGGGAGGCAGCAGUGGGGAAUUUUGGACAAUGGGCGCAAGCCUGAUCCAGCAAUGCCGCGUGCAGGAUGAAGGCCUUCGGGUUGUAAACUGCCUUUGUACGGAACGAAAAGUCUUGGGUUAAUACCCUGGGAUCAUGACGGUACCGUAAGAAUAAGCACCGGCUAACUACGUGCCAGCAGCCGCGGUAAUACGUAGGGUGCAAGCGUUAAUCGGAAUUACUGGGCGUAAAGCGUGCGCAGGCGGUUUUGUAAGACAGUGGUGAAAUCCCCGGGCUCAACCUGGGAACUGCCAUUGUGACUGCAAGGCUGGAGUGCGGCAGAGGGGGAUGGAAUUCCGCGUGUAGCAGUGAAAUGCGUAGAUAUGCGGAGGAACACCGAUGGCGAAGGCAAUCCCCUGGGCCUGCACUGACACUCAUGCACGAAAGCGUGGGGAGCAAACAGGAUUAGAAACCCUGGUAGUCCGAAGUUC
rnacentral:rRNA from 1 species